rnacentral:rRNA from 1 species
GACGAACGCUGGCGGCGUGCUUAACACAUGCAAGUCGAACGCUGAAGCUCAGCUUUUGUUGGGUGGAUGAGUGGCGAACGGGUGAGUAACACGUGAGUAACCUGCCCCCUUCUUUGGGAUAACGCCCGGAAACGGGUGCUAAUACUGGAUAUUCACUGGUCUUCGCAUGGGGGUUGGUGGAAAGGGUUUUUCUGGUGGGGGAUGGGCUCGCGGCCUAUCAGCUUGUUGGUGGGGUGAUGGCCUACCAAGGCUUUGACGGGUAGCCGGCCUGAGAGGGUGACCGGUCACAUUGGGACUGAGAUACGGCCCAGACUCCUACGGGGGGCAGCAGUGGGGAAUAUUGCACAAUGGGCGCAAGCCUGAUGCGGCGCCGCCGCGUGAGGGAUGGAGGCCUUCGGGUUGUGAACCUCUUUCGCUCAUGGUCAAGCCGCAACAAUGGUUGUGGUGAGGGUAGUGGGUAAAGAAGCGCCGGCUAACUACGUG